UUUAUAAUAAAAGAAAUUAAAAGAAAAUAAAGGAGAAAGGAAACUUACCAUUUCUUUUUUGGAGAGGCUUUAUGAGGGGAUUAGGUUAAGAAGGGAAUGAAAGAUUUGGAAGAGCAUUUUCUCAUAGGCUGUCGUGGGGUUGAAGAGAGGAAGAGAGAGAGAGAGUGGAAAGCUAGAGAGAGAGAGAAAGGAAGGGCUGCCAUUUUUUCUAGAGAGAAAGGAAGAAGAAGAAGAAAGGGUUCAAGCUAGGGGUUUGAGCAAGGAGGUUAUUGGAUUCUUGAUUGGAUUGGAUACUUGAUUGGAUUGGAUUCUUGAUUUUCUAUCAAGAAGAGGCUCGUUGAGAGGUUGUGAAAUUUCUUAGCUCGCACCUGAGAUAGCAAAUAGGAUUUCUCUAUGGCACGCGUGGUGACGUGAGGAGUUCUAUCGUCGUAGGGUGUAUGGCGUGGGGUAUCCUAUGGACGGAAUAAACGAUCACUUUAGGACGCCAUUUUAAUUAUGUUAUGUUUUAAGACACUUUCGAAAUUUUCAGUGGGACUUAAUUAUUUAAUUUUGUUUCUUUAGAACUUUGCAUAAAAACUCAUAUUUUCUUUUUAAACUAAUGGGCCCAACUUGCAUUGUUUUAAGCAAGUCCCCACUAAGACCUUUAUAAAAAGUGGUUUU